ACAGGGUGACAGGUGGUGCAUGGUUGUCGUCAGCUCGUGUCGUGAGAUGUUGGGUUAAGUCCCGCAACGAGCGCAACCCUCGCCUCUAGUUGCCAGCAUUCGGUUGGGCACGUCUAGAGGGACUGCCGGCGACAAGUCGGAGGAAGGUGGGGAUGACGUCAAAUCAUCAUGCCCCUUAUGACCUGGGCUACACACGUGCUACAAUGGGCGGUACAAAGGGCUGCGAACCCGCGAGGGGGAGCGAAUCCCAAAAAGCCGCUCUCAGUUCGGAUUGCAGGCUGCAACUCGCCUGCAUGAAGCCGGAAUCGCUAGUAAUCGCGGAUCAGCAUGCCGCGGUGAAUACGUUCCCGGGCCUU
rnacentral:rRNA from 1 species